rnacentral:rRNA from 1 species
GACGUAGGGCGCGAGCGUGUCCGGAUUUAUUGGGCGUAAAGAGCUCGUAGGCGGUUUGUUGCGUCGGCUGUGAAAUCCCGAGGCUCAACCUCGGGUCUGCAGUCGAUACGAGCAAACUAGAGUGUUGCAGGGGAGACUGGAAUUCCUGGUGUAGCGGUGAAAUGCGCAGAUAUCAGGAGGAACACCGGUGGCGAAGGCGGGUCUCUGGGCAACAACUGACGCUGAGGAGCGAAAGCGUGGGGAGCGAACAGG